GGGUUCAGAAUUACAAUCAGUUCGGGCGCUGGCGGGAUGCUUUACACAUACCGGUCGAACGGCAGCACGGACUUCGGUCUGGUGGCGAGUGGCGAACGGUGGGUAAUGUAUCGGAACGUGCCUAGUAGCGGGGGAUAACUACGCGAAAGCGUAGCUAAUACCGCAUACGCCCUUCAGAAGCAGGGACCUUCGGGCCUCGCACUAUUAGAGCGGCCGAUAUCGGAUUAGCUAGUUGGUGGGGUAACGGCUCGCAAGGCGACGAUCCGUAGCUGGUUUGAGAGGACGACCAGCCACACUGGGACUGGGACCACAGCCAGACUCUGGAGGCAGCAGUGGGAAUUUUGGGACGUGGAAACCCUGAGUCGCCAUCCCGCGUGUGCGAUGACCUUCAGGUUGUAAAGCACUUUUGGCAGGAAAAGAAACGGCACGGGAUAAUACCAUGCAGCACAACCAAUACCUGCAGAAUAAGCACCGGCUAACUACGUGCCAACAGCCGCGGGUAAUACGUAGGGUGCAAGCGUUAAUCAAAGAUUGCACGGGCGUAAAGCGUGCGCAGGAGCGAAGAAAGAUGUGAAAUCCCAGAGCUUAACUUUGGAACUGCAUUUUUAACUACCGAGCUAGAGUGUGUCAGAGGGAGGUGGAAUUCCGCGUGUAGCAGUGAUACUGCGUAGAUAUGCGGAGGAACACCGAUAGCGAAGGCAGCCUCCUGGGAUAACACUGACGCUCAUGCACGAAAGCGUGGGGAGCAAACAGGGUUAGAUACCCUGGUAGUCACGCCUAAACGAUGUCAACUAGCUGUUGGGGCCUUCAGGCCUUGGUAAGCGCAGCUAACGGCGAAGUUGACCGCCUGGGAGUACGGUCGCAAAGAUUAAAACUCAAAGGAAUUGACGGGGACCCGCACAAGCGGUGGAUGAUGUGGAUUAAUUCGAUGCAACGCGAAAACCUUACCUACCCUUGACAUGUCUGGAACCGAAGAGAUUUGAGUGCUCAUAAAGAGAGAACCGGAACACAGGUGCUGCAUGGCUGUCGUCAGCUCGUGUCGUGAGAUGUUGGGUUAGAACCACUGUAGGCAUAACCAUGUCGUCUGGUGCUACGAAAGGGCACUCUAAUGAGACUGCCGAGUGACUCAGCCGGAGGAAGGUGGGGAUGACGUCAAGUCACUAGCAGCCCUUAUGGUGGGCUUCACACGUCAUACAAUGGUCAGGACAGGGUCGCCAACCCGCGAGGGGGAGCCAAUCCCGAAACCCGAUCGUAGUCCGGAUCGCAGUCUGCAACUCGACUGCGUGAAGUCGGAAUCGCUAGUAAUCGCGGAUCAGCAUGUCGCGGUGAAUACGUUCCCGGGUCUUGUACACACCGCCCGUCACACCAUGGGAGUGGGUUUUACCAGAAGUAGUUAGCCUAACCGUAAGGAGGGUGAUUACCACGGUAGGAUUCAUGACUGGGGUGAAGUCGUAACAAAGU
rnacentral:rRNA from 1 species